UACGUAGGGUGCGAGCGUUGCCCGGAUUUAUUGGGCGUAAAGGGCGCGUAGGCGGCCUUCUAAGUCAGACGUGAAAUCCCCCGGCUUAACCUGGGAACUGCGUCUGAUACUGGGAGGCUUGAGUAUGGGAGAGGGAUGUAGAAUUCCAGGUGUAGCGGUGAAAUGCGUAGAUAUCUGGAGGAAUACCGGUGGCGAAGGCGGCAUCCUGGACCAUUACUGACGCUCAUGCACGAAAGCGUGGGGAGCAAACAGG
rnacentral:rRNA from 1 species